UUUUAUGAGAGUUUGAUCCUGGCUCAGGACGAACGCUGGCGGCGUGCCUAAUACAUGCAAGUCGUACGCUUCUUUUUCCACCGGAGCUUGCUCCACCGGAAAAAGAAGAGUGGCGAACGGGUGAGUAACACGUGGGUAACCUGCCCAUCAGAAGGGGAUAACACUUGGAAACAGGUGCUAAUACCGUAUAACAAUCGAAAUCGCAUG
rnacentral:rRNA from 1 species